CUGCGGAAGGAUCAUUGUCGAAACCUGCCCAGCAGAGCGACCCGUGAACAUGUUCAACCUCAUGGGUGYUGGGGCGUGGCUCGGUGCCUCGUGUGCCGGCUCGCCCCUCUCCCAGGCAGGGGAGCGCCCACUUGUGGGCUGUUUCCCGGCUAACCAACGAACCCCGGCGCGUAAAUGCGUCAAGGAAUAUAAACUUUAUGUGUGUGCUCUCCUAUCGCCCGGUUAGCCGGGCGUUGGAGUGGUGCCAUGUCUUAACAAUAAACGACUCUCGGCAACGGAUAUCUCGGCUCUCGCAUCGAUGAAGAACGUAGCGAAAUGCGAUACUUGGUGUGAAUUGCAGAAUCCCGUGAACCAUCGAGUUUUUGAACGCAAGUUGCGCCCGAAGCUUYCGGCUGAGGGCACGUCUGCCUGGGCGUCACGCAUCGCGUCUCCCCCACAUUCCACCUUGGUGGAGGGGAAGGAGGAUGGUUUCCCGCGACUCACCGGUCGCGGCUGGCCUAAAAUUGGAGCCCACGGCAUCGGGAUGCCGCGGCGAUAGGUGGUGAACAAGGCCUCGGCCAAGCAAGCAACCCGUCGCGCAUGCCGUGCCAAWGCGGGCUCGAAGGACCCUUUGUCGUUGUCUUUGAGGCAACCAAACCGUUGCGACCCCAGGUCAGGCGGGCUACCCGCUGAAUUUAAGCAUAUCAAUAA
rnacentral:rRNA from 1 species